UCGCUCCUACCGAUCGAGUGAUUCGGUGAACCUUUUGGACCGUUGGUGCCUCGUGUACCGAUGGGAAAUCAAGUAAACCAUAUCACUUAGAGGAAGGAU
rnacentral:rRNA from 1 species